rnacentral:rRNA from 1 species
GGAGUUAGCCGGUGCUUCUUCUGUGAGUGAUGUCCUUCCUGCCGGCUAUUAACCCGCAGGCCUUCUUCCUCACUGAAAGUGCUUUACAACCCGAAGGCCUUCUUCACACACGCGGCAUGGCUGGAUCAGGGUUGCCCCCAUUGUCCAAUAUUCCCCACUGCUGCCUCCCGUAGGAGUCUGGGCCGUGUCUCAGUCCCAGUGUGGCUGAUCAUCCUCUCAGACCAGCUACGGAUCGUCGCCUUGGUGAGCCGUUACCUCACCAACCAGCUAAUCCGACAUAGGCUCAUCCGAUAGCGCGAGGCCCGAAGGUCCCCCGCUUUCCCCCGUAGGGCCGUAUGCGGUAUUAGCCUAGGUUUCCCCCAGGUUAUCCCCCACUACCGGGCAGAUUCCUAUGCAUUACUCACCCGUCCGCCGCUCGCCACCAGGGAGCAAGCUCCCCGUGCUGCCGCUCGACUUGCAUGUGUAGCUCGCCGCCACGCGUCAUCUGAACCAAGAUACAACUUACUGA